rnacentral:lncRNA from 1 species
AGCCGAAUCAAAAUGAUACCACCAUUCAUGAGAUACAAGUCAAAGCGUUUUCAUGGGAAGCACGCACGAUAAUGUACGUUGCAGAGUGGGAUAUGACAGAUUGACUGUUUCAAUAACAACAUGGAGUGCUUUCCAUUUACAGACUCAAGUCGACUUGUGUCGCUAUUUCUGGUGUAUUCCUUUACCCAGAUUGGCCGGUUACACCAGAAAUAGCGACACAAGUCGAUUUGAGUCAGUAAAUGGAAAGCACCCAUUAUUAAUUCUGAACACAAUGUGAGGCCGUUUAAUUUGCCCAAUUUCGAGUGCUUGCUUGCGACUAAUCUAAAUAUUGAAGAUUCAUUUAUUUACCAUGAUUGACAUUAGAUUGGCCUUUUCCGCGAUGUUUCAAUAACAAAAAAAAAAAAUAAAUAAAUAAAAAAAGUUACCAAUGCGCCGAGAGAUUAGACAGCUACGAUAACGUCAUUGUACUGGUCUAAUUGAAAAAUUCAAAUCGACGGGAAUUACCGAUAUGCAUACGUCGAAACCAAUCGACGCCGCGUCUCAAAUCCAACCGCGAAUACUGCAUUUAGAAUCACCCGACAAUUUUGUCUUUCGUUCGCACCAGGCACUUAUCCGUGUAAAUCUGUUAUCUCAAAGAGUAUUUCAACGAGAUCCAGAAGAUACUAAACUGGUAAAUCAAUGUGGCCGAAAAAAAAACUUUCGAACUACAAACAAUCAACAGCCCUAACUGAACACGUCUCAUCCACGUGUUUGUCAUUUAGUAGUCCACAUAAUAAGGGGACAAGCUGAAAUCAAAGCUGUACAAACGACAGGCAAUGUGUUUGAAGGCUUUGAGUCGACCUGGCGCAGAUCUAUCAUUCUUGGAAGCUAUGGUUUGACUUAAUAA